rnacentral:rRNA from 1 species
GACGAACGCUGGCGGCGUGCUUAACACAUGCGAGUCGAACGGAAAGGCUCUGCUUUUGUGGGGUGCUCGAGUGGCGAACGGGUGAGUAACACGUGAGUAACCUGCCCUUGACUUUGGGAUAACUUCAGGAAACUGGGGCUAAUACCGGAUAGGAGCUCCUGCUGCAUGGUGGGGGUUGGAAAGUUUCGGCGGUUGGGGAUGGACUCGCGGCUUAUCAGCUUGUUGGUGGGGUAGUGGCUUACCAAGGCUUUGACGGGUAGCCGGCCUGAGAGGGUGACCGGCCACAUUGGGACUGAGAUACGGCCCAGACUCCUACGGGAGGCAGCAGUGGGGAAUAUUGCACAAUGGGCGGAAGCCUGAUGCAGCAACGCCGCGUGCGGGAUGACGGCCUUCGGGUUGUAAACCGCUUCCGCCUGUGACGAAGCGUGAGUGACGGUAAUGGGUAAAGAAGCACCGGCUAACUACGUG